rnacentral:rRNA from 1 species
UACAGAGGGGGCAAGCGUUAUUCGGAAUUAUUGGGCGUAAAGGGCGCGUAGGCGGCCUGGCAAGUGGAAGGUGAAAUCCCUCGGCUUAACCGAGGAACUGCCCUCCAAACUGCUUGGCUUGAGUCCGGGAGAGGUGAGUGGAAUUCCCAGUGUAGCGGUGAAAUGCGUAGAUAUUGGGAGGAACACCAGUGGCGAAGGCGGCUCACUGGACCGGUACUGACGCUGAUGUGCGAAAGCGUGGGGAGCAAACGGG